UACGUAGGAGACGAGCGUUGUCCGGAGUUACUGGGCGUAAAGGGUGCGCAGGUGGCGGCGCGCGUGGGGGGUGAAAUCGCCCGGCUUAACUGGGCGGGGGCCUUCCAGACGGCGUGGCUUGAGCAGCGGAGGGGGACGUGGAAUCCCGGGUGGAGCGGUGAAAUGCGCAGAUAUCAAGAGGAACACCAGUGGCGAAGGCGAGUCCCUGGACAACACCUGACACUGAGGCACGAAAGCUAGGGGAGCAAACAGG
rnacentral:rRNA from 1 species